AUGGGUUUCAAAGAUCUCCCACUUUUCAAUCUAGCGAUGCUUGGCAAACAAGGGUGGCGCCUCUUGACACAUCCACAAUCUCUUUGUGCUCGUGUGUUAAAGGGGAAGUACUACCCUAACACAGAUUUUCUUCAUGCUACUGUUCCGGCGAGGGCCUCGGCGACGUGGAAGGCCAUUGUAGCGGGCAGAGAGGCAUUGAAGUAG
rnacentral:rRNA from 1 species